rnacentral:tRNA from 1 species
GCCUGGGUGGCGGAAUGGUAUACGCGCGAGUCUCAAAAACUCGUGAUGUCAAAGUCUUGAGAGUUCGAGUCUCUCCCCAGGCA